UACGAAGGGGGCUAGCGUUGCUCGGAAUCACUGGGCGUAAAGGGUGCGUAGGCGGGUUUUUAAGUCAGGGGUGAAAUCCUGGAGCUCAACUCCAGAACUGCCUUUGAUACUGAAGAUCUUGAGUUCGGGAGAGGUGAGUAGAACUGCGAGUGUAGAGGUGAAAUUCGUAGAUAUUCGCAAGAACACCAGUGGCGAAGGCGGCUCACUGGCCCGAUACUGACGCUGAGGCACGAAAGCGUGGGGAGCAAACAGG
rnacentral:rRNA from 1 species